CGGGCUUGAAAUAAUCAGCGGGGAAAGAAGACCCUGUUGAGCUUGACUCUAGUCCGACUUUGUGAAAUGACUAACGAAGUUUAGCCUUAGGUGGGAGCCAACGCGCCAAUGAAAACCACUAUUUGUUACGUCAUUUUACUUACUCCGUAAAGAAGUGAUCGGUUUACCGAUUCUAGAACUAAGGGUAGUUUACUGCCUGAAGCUUUGACGGAAGACACGGUCAGGUGGGGAGUUUGGCUGGGGCGGCACAUCUGUUAAACAAUAACGCAGGUGUCCUAAGGUGAAGCUCAAAGAGAACAGAAAUCUCUUGUAGACCAAAAGGGGAAAAGACUCACUUGAUUUUGAUAUCCAGUACAUAUACAAACCGUGAAAGCGUGGCCUAUCGAUCCUUUAACUUUACAAGUAUUAAGCUAGAGGUGUCAGAAAAAGUUACCACAGGGAUAACUGGCUUGUGGCUGCCAAAGCGCUCAU
rnacentral:rRNA from 1 species